rfam:Schistosoma rodhaini strain Burundi genome assembly, scaffold: SROB_scaffold0008777
AUCCAGCUGACUCGUCCCAAAUAAGACGGAACGCGCGUCAAACUGGAU